UGGUGACCCUUGACCUCUGGUCCCCACAGCUACACCUUCGGCAAAGUACAGGGCAACAGCGACCUCUAUUGGAAGGCGCAGCGCUACAGCCUCAUCCGGGAAUUUCACUCUCGGCCGGCGCUGGCCCCACCCUUCAUCAUCAUCUCGCACGUGCGCCUGCUCUUCCGUCGAUUGCGCAGGCACCGGGCCAGCAUGCCGGCCUCCCCCAACCUACGGCAUUUUCGGGUCCACCUCCCUAAGGAAGCCGAGAGGAAGCUGUUGACGUGGGAAUCGGUGCAGAAGGAGAAUUUCCUAUUGGCGCGGGCGAGGGACAAGCGGGAAAGUGACUCGGAGCGUCUGAAGCGCACGUCGCAGAA